rnacentral:lncRNA from 1 species
AUAAUAAUUUAACCUGCUGAAGUUAGAUUUUGGAUCUGCAAUUGGGUGUUUUCCAUUUGAGUAAAAGCUACCACUAAAGGUUGUAGAUGGACAGAAUUCCUCCACGCUUAAUAGAGGGUCUCGGCUUCGAGUCCUGGAAUGCAAAAAAACUCCUGGUAGGAGCGCUUACUCAGCGCGAAUCUAGAUUACUCCGGCCCCUCCACCCUUAACUAGGGGUCUAGGGUUCGCAUCUUGGGAAUGAAAAAAAUCCUAGUAGGAGCGCAUAUGCGGGGCGAAUCUGAAUUAGUCUGGGCCCAAAAGCUGGUACAAGACACCGGAUGGAAAACAAAAAAAAAAAAGGAAAUGUCAAAAGCUAGAUGUGAUUUUAUUUGAUUAACUUUCACUUUGGUUUUUAGUUUUCUUUCUUUUUGGUAGAUCUAGUUCCUUUCAAUCUGUUCUUCCAUCUUCUCUAUAUCUGGUUGUGUAUCAGAAAAAAAUCGUCUUUGAGAAUUGACCCGUGCCUGGUUAUUCAAAGAUUUGCAGUUGAUUAAGCAUGCACCUCAAAUGGCAAUUCUGUUGGUUUUUAUUAUCCAAAUGAGACUCCUUUCACAUCAAAAAAGAAAGUAUGAGUUUGAUGGAAAGAUCUGAUUUACGUUGGAUAUGCGUCCAUAUCAUUUGUUUUUCAAAAAUAUAUGUGCAUGUAUCCGAGUUUAUGUGAGAUGAUUAUAUGAGGUUAUUUUCAAAGCCUUUCAUGAUCUCAGAUAUAGGCAUCAAGUCGAUAUAUGUGAAUUUGAUUUGCUUAUUUAGCCGCAGAACUUGUGCAAUUAAACUGAUCAGAUUAAUAUGAUUUAAUGCAAUUUCUGUCUUACUGUUUAGGAAUAAUAGUUGCAGAACCAGUUUGUCUGUCAUAGAUGAAAGAAACAAAUUACCCCUUUUUGUUGCUAUCGUUUUGUGUAUAAGGAUUUUUCACUUAUUGUGGUGUUUGAUCUUCUAUAUUAUACAAGAUAUUUAUAUGUUUUCAGUUUAGUAGCAUAAAUAUAGUCUUUUUUAAUUUCCAGAGCACAUAAAAGAUGGCAGAAGGUGAGGAAAUUCAGCCUCUUGUCUGUGAUAAUGGAACUGGAAUGGUUAAGGUAACUACAAUAUUUCACUCGUCUCUACUGAAUGUUUUGGUGACAUUGAAUACAACAUUGCCCUUAUUUGAUCUGACUGCUGACUGUUAAUCGUGGCCUAAAAUUGUUAGGCUGGAUUCGCCGGAGAUGAUGCUCCAAGAGCUGUGUUCCCUAGCAUUGUUGGACGCCCUCGUCACACUGGUGUGAUGGUUGGCAUGGGCCAGAAGGAUGCUUAUGUUGGUGAUGAGGCUCAAUCCAAAAGGGGUAUUUUGACUUUGAAGUAUCCAAUUGAACACGGAAUCGUUAGCAAUUGGGAUGAUAUGGAGAAAAUUUGGCAUCACACCUUCUACAAUGAACUUCGUGUGGCUCCAGAAGAACACCCUGUUCUCCUCACAGAAGCUCCUCUUAAUCCAAAGGCCAAUCGAGAAAAGAUGACUCAGAUCAUGUUUGAGACCUUCAACGCCCCUGCCAUGUAUGUCGCCAUUCAGGCUGUUCUUUCCCUCUAUGCCAGUGGACGUACUACUGGUAAGCUUUGUCUUCAGUCAACCACCUUUAAAUAUGUGUAUGUAGUGCUUGAAAUCCAGCUCUUUUAGUGAUGUUUGUGAAUGAUUUUUUGGUCCAAACAUUAUGUUGAAUCCUGUGCUUUUUUAUGUCAGGUAUUGUGCUGGACUCUGGUGAUGGUGUCAGCCACACAGUUCCCAUCUAUGAAGGUUAUGCUCUCCCACACGCAAUCCUGCGUCUUGAUCUGGCAGGGCGUGAUCUCACAGAUCACCUCAUGAAGAUUCUCACAGAAAGAGGCUACUCUUUCACCACCACGGCCGAGCGGGAAAUUGUUAGGGAUGUGAAGGAGAAGUUGGCUUACAUUGCUCUUGACUAUGAACAAGAACUUGAAACAGCAAAGACCAGCUCAUCCGUGGAGAAGAGCUACGAGCUGCCUGAUGGACAGGUUAUCACCAUUGGUGCUGAGAGAUUCCGCUGCCCAGAAGUUCUGUUCCAACCAUCAAUGAUCGGAAUGGAAGCUGCUGGUAUUCAUGAAACCACAUACAAUUCCAUCAUGAAGUGUGACGUUGAUAUCAGAAAGGAUCUGUAUGGAAACAUUGUCCUCAGUGGUGGUACCACCAUGUUCCCGGGCAUUGCUGAUAGGAUGAGCAAGGAAAUUACCGCAUUAGCUCCAAGUAGCAUGAAGAUCAAGGUUGUCGCCCCACCUGAGAGGAAGUACAGUGUUUGGAUUGGAGGAUCUAUUUUGGCCUCUCUCAGCACAUUCCAGCAGGUUUGCAAAAUCAAGAUCUCUUUACUUCUUGCAGUCUGCUGCAUUUCAUAUUUGCAAUUCUUAAAGUUUAACCACUAUCUCAUCACACCAUUGUCAACAAUAACUCAAAAAUGCCAGUUAUCUGAGAACAAAUGCUGAGCAGUAGUUUAUGCUAAAUACUUAGCUCUUUAAACUGAAUGUGAUGAACAUUUGUCAAGGCGGCACAUGAAAAUUUACUUAUGGAUUUUUUUUCCCGAUUACAGAUGUGGAUCGCUAAGGCAGAGUAUGAUGAAUCUGGACCUUCAAUUGUUCACAGAAAAUGCUUCUAAAUACAGCAUUCCAAGAAAGAGAAACAGAAGAAAUAUACAAACUCUCAUUUUGAGAGCAGCACCGCGUUUAUUGAUUGCAUAUAAUAUGCUUCUCAUUUGUAUUUCCUUUUGAUUAUUUUUGUUUCUAUCUCUUUAUCUGAAUCAAUCUCAAAUAUUCGGUCAUUGUUGGUAUGAAAAAGCAAGCAGUUCAUGUUAAGAGUCAAUUUAAAAUUAAUAUUUUUAUAUAGAGUUGUAUGUGAAAUGAUGUUGUGAUUUGGUAUAUGGAUAAAGAGCUUGUCAGUUCAUUUUAUAUAUUCUCUUGGUCUCAAUUUUUAUGGUAUCCAAAUAAGAAACAGAAAAUUAUAGGUAUCACUUGUUAUACUAUUCGACACUUUCUACCCCUGCCGUUACCUAUUUAAAUGUAUUUACCCCUCCAUCUACCCCAGUCUUCCUGUUACACGUGGCUUCAUCUUAAGCCCCCAAACCUUUUUCUUAUUUUUGAUUUUUAGAGCCCCAUCUUAAAAUUUAUUACUCAAAUCAAUACCUCUUAGUAACCCACCCCAAGGACCCCAGUAAUUAAAUAUCCAGAUUAGCUCCAGUACUUGGGGUUCAUAUUAGCUCCAGUCUUAAAUUUUAAAGGCCACGAUCUUGGUUCAUUUAUGCUCAAAGAAUACUCAAUGUUCUUUAGUGUUUAGAUAACUUUUCGUAAAUCAUAUAGAUUGUUUCCAAAAAGAAAAAGAAACAACUCAAUAGUAUAUUUUCCCAUAAAAGUUACUCAAAAAUUCUUUAAAAUUACUUUCUCAAAAAAUUGUUCCAAACAUUUCCCAUAAUUAAUCUCAAUCUGUUUUCCGAAACCUAAAUCAAAACCAAUCCAACUACCUUAUAUUAUAUAUAAUCAAUACAUUGUAAAGAACGGCAUGUUCUUUUGAGCUUUGGUAGGCAAAGUUAUUCGGUAAACAAAUGAUAUGUGGAAUAGUCGAGGUGUAAACAAGCUGACCGACAUGAUUGUUAUAAAAGAAAAAGAUUUCUUUUGAGUAAAUCAGUUGCACAAAUAUAAUUAUUUGGUGCCACCCUUUAAAUUUUUACCCUGGUAGAAAGUCAUGGGAAAAUAGUCUCCAAUCAAAUUUUUGAACCAUGUUAGUCAGAAUUUCUUCGGCAUGUCUUAUGGCGAUUUGUCAGAAUUCUGACGGUCGCCAUAUAGCACACACCGUAUUAGGGUGGAGUGGAUGAAGUGGAGGUUAGCAUCUGGAGUUCUGUGUGACAAGAGAGUGCCACCGAUACUCAAAGGUAAGUUUUACAAAGCGGUGGUUAGACCGGCCAUGAUGUAUAAGGCUGAGUGUUGGCCUGUUAAGAACUCACAUAUCCAGAAAAUGAAAGUAACAGAAAUGGGGAUGUUGAGGUGGAUGUGCGGGCACUCUAGGAUGGAUAAGAUUAGGAAUGAAGAUAUUUCAGAUAAGGUAGGCGUGGCUCUCAUUGAUGACAAGAUGCGAGAAGCAAGGCUCAGAUGGUUCAGACACGUACAAAAGAGAAGCCCAGAUGCUCCAGUAAGGAGGUGCGGGCGGCUGGUUUUGGAGGGCAUGAGAAGAGGUAGAGGACCUCCUAAGAAGUAUUGGGGAUAGGUGGUCAGGCAGGACAUGGGGAGACUUCAGAUUUUCGAGGACAUGACCCUUGGUAGGAAGCUGUGGGGGUCGAGUAUUAGGGUUGUAGAUUAGGAGAUAGUUGAGUUUUUUCUUACUUUGUCCCUUCGUGAGGUUACUCUGGUAGGGUUUCUGUCGAAGUCAGCUAGUGACAAUGUUGUGUCUUACUACUAUUUUGUUUUCCAUAGUGUCGGGUCUAUGUACCGUCUAUCGUUUUUACUUUGCAUCUACUUUCAUAUUUUCAUGAUGUUAUUUUUCCUAUAUUUUCUAUUGGUGGUACUGAUAUUAUCUCUUUUUGUCUUCUUGGGCCGAGAGUUUUUCGGAAACAACCUUUCUACUUCUUUGUGAUUGGGGUAAGGUCUGCGUACAUACUACUAUCCCUAAACCCCACUAAUAGAAUUCUACUGGAUCGUUAUUGUUGUGUGCGGUCACCAUAAUUUUAUAAGUUAUGAUGAUCGUCACAAAAUUCUGAAUGAUCACCUGAACUUUUCGCGUUAUGGCUGAAAGCAGGAUUCCUUGUGCUUCAAAAUUGUGACCAAUGUGCUUUAAAAUUCUAAUUAGUGUGCUCUAAAGUUCUGAUGCAAUUUUUUUUUUUAAAAUUUCUUAGUAAGGUCAAAAUAUAAACGGUAAUUUUAAAGAGGUUCAUCCAAGGGGUGUUAAUGGUUCAGUUCGGUCGGUUAUUUUGUAAAUUUUGUACCAUACUAAUUUUUUGAUUAUUCUAUUAUGUAUAAUCAAAAUUAGACUUUUCGAAACCGUCCCAAUUAUAUCGGUUCCUCUUCGGUAUCGGUACGGUUGGGUUAAUUUUCUGUAUUUUUUUAAAAUAUCAUAUAAAAGUCACUAGUAGAAGUAGAAUGCAAUAACAUAAAGUAAAAUGUAAUAACAUACAUACUUUUUUAGGACUUAACAAAUCUCUCUAGAUAUUUUUACAUUUUAAAGGGUGAUAAAUUAAGAAAAUAUAAAAGAUGGCUAGAGUAAAGAUCCAUCAACUACUCUAUAACAACGUAAAAGAAACUAAACAAAUUAAUGUAAAAAAAUAUAAAUCACACGAGUGGAAAGAUAUUAACCAAGUUGGAACUGAGACUCAAGAAUAAAAUCUAUAGAAGAUUAAAUAUUCAAAAAGAUAAAUCUAGAUCAUACGAAAGGAAACAUAAUCAAUGCAUUGUAGUUUGCUACUGAUAACCGCUAAAUAACUUGUGUCUUGCUAGUGAAUAUGUUGGAAAUAAUUUAGUUUCAAUAGGAGUAGCAUAAUAGGUUUGAGAAUUAUGUUUUGCGAUUAUUACUUGUUGUCUCGAAAUUGUUUUCAUAAUUCCAAUACCCAAGGAAAAUGUAAUGUUUUAUUAUUUUUGAACUUAAUAUAUAAAUAUAAUUUUCAUAUGUAAAUUUGUUCGGUACGGUUCAGUAUUUUUUCGAUUUAUUUUUAUAAAAUAAAAAAUUUAUUCUAAUUAUCGGUACGGUUAUAAAUUUAUAUAAAAAUCUACGGUUUUAUUUAAAGGAAUCAAAAAUUCGAUUUGGUACCGUACGGUUCGGUUGGUUUAGUCGGUUUUUAAAUACCACUGUUUCGGAUAGAAGGAUGUAGAAGGAGCUUCAACACAAUGGGAUGACAUUCAAAGGAAGCUUGGAAAUCACCCUCCAAAACCCCCUGCUUUUAAGCCUCCACCUUUUACUCCUGAAACUUCCAAUUCCAAGCCUAAAGACAAAGAUUGGAUAGAUGAAAAGACCCAAGAUGAACUUGAUGAACUUGAAGAUGAUCCCCAACUCAACGACGAUCGCUUCCUCCAAGAAUACAGGUUUCGCCCUUCUUCCCCUUUUUUUUAUUUUCAAUUUUCGCACUUUGAUUCCUUAAUUAUUCUUUUGGAUCGCUCCUGAAAGACCCCUUUAGGAUAUUAAAAAAGAAAUCCGUUCAAGUCCCUUCUUUUUCAGUUCAUUGCCGCUUAAUUUUUUGGGACAAGUGUUAGUGUGCCACGUAUUUUGAUAUUUUGUAUUAUCCAUGUGAACGUAGUUCAAAUUGACCGAACUAACACAUUAAAUAUUUGUGUCUCUUUUGUUAUCUGAUUUAUCGUCGUUCAAGAUUCGAUUUACUAUCUUUCGCAUGACACCUAAUUAUUUUGAUUUUGUGGACCCCUUAAGACGAAAAGGGGGAAUCUUUGGUCUUAAAGAAGUUUUUUCUUUGAACUCAUGGACAUCCUUAACUGAAAGAUGAUUUCUUUUGAAUGCAUGAUAUCACCAUAGUGAUGUUUGUUCUUGUAGGGAUCAUAGUUGUCCUUUGGUUUGUAUAUUUGACUCCUGAGCUUCUAGUUGAAUGAGAGUUAACUAAGGAAAGCAUUGUCAUAUUCACUUUACUAGGUUAAAAGGUUGGAGAAGAACAGUCCAAGCAGACAUGGUAAAAUAUGCGGGAAAUAACUUGUUUAGGACUUGUCUACAACUGGUAACUCGAAGUAUUCUGCACUAAAAUCCAAGAAUAAAGCUCCCAAAAUAAAAAGGAUUUAUGACAUACACUUAUCUUUGACUCCUUCCUCACCCCCCCCCCCCCCAAAAAAAAAAAAAAAAAAAAAAAAAAAAAAAAAAAAAAAAAAAAAAAAAAAAAAA